AGCCUAGCGAAGUGACGCUAGGUCCCCCCUGCCCUGUGAACUUAUUUUAACGGCCGCAGUACUCUGACUGUGCUAAGGUAGCAUAAUAACUUGACUCCUAAUUAGAGCCUGGGAUGAAAGGGGCCACGGGGAGAGACUGUCUCUGCUUAAGCUAACUCGAACUUAUUUAUGAGGUGAAAAUCCCUCAAGUUAUAGAUAAUAGACGAGAAGACCCUAAGAGUUUCUCUUAAAUCAUUAGACCUUCCCUCUUUUGAUUAGUUUUGCUGGGGCGGCAUAGGAUCACAAAAUCAUCCUUCUUCUUUCUCUACCUACAGGACAAAUAUCUCUCUAGACUGACUAAACUACCUUAGGGAUAACAGCACUAUUUAUAUUUAAGAUUGUGACCUCGAUGUUGGACUAGGAACACAUGCAAGCAGAACUUCCUUGUGAUGGUUCUGUUCGAACCCCUCCCUCCU
rnacentral:rRNA from 1 species